AGAGAGAGACAUGCGCGCAUAUCAAUAAGCGGAGGAAAAGAAACUAACUAAGGAUUCCCCUCAGUAACGGCGAGUGAAGCGGGAAGAGCUCAAAUUUGAAAUCUUCAAGGUUCUACCUUGACGAAUUGUAGUUUAAAGAAGUGUUUUCUGUUGGAGGUUUUGGUAAAAGUUCUUUGGAAUAGGACAUCAUAGAGGGUGAGAAUCCCGUAUUUGACCAUUAUUUCCAGCUUUGUGAUACACUUUCAAAGAGUCGGAUUGUUUGGGAAUGCAGUCCAAAAUGGGUGGUAAAUUUCAUCUAAAGCUAAAUAUUGGCGAGAGACCGAUAGCGAACAAGUACCGUGAGGGAAAGAUGAAAAGAACUUUGAAAAGAGAGUUAAACAGUACGUGAAAUUGUCAAAAGGGAAGCGUUUGACACCAGUGUUGUUUUCUCGAAAAUCAAUUAAAAAAGGCAGGAUUUUGUGUUGUAUUGACUUUAUCAGCUUUCUGCACUCUUUUCUUGUCUUUUUUAAUGCACUUUUCGUUUAACAAGUCAACAUCAAUUUCUUUUGUUGUAAAAGGGUCAUUGGAAGGUGGCUUUCUUUUCGGAGAAAGUGUUUAUAGCCUUUGGCCUCUGCAAUCGGAGAGAUUGAGGUCUGCAGCGUAGAUCCUUCGGGGUUAGAUACAUUUGUGCUAAGUUAUAGCCUUUCAUAGACAACUUGUUGACUAUGAUCAGUCAUGUAGCUUACUCGCUUAUGCUAUUUUACCUACGCUUAGGAUGUUGAUGUGAUACUGCGAGCA
rnacentral:rRNA from 1 species